GACGUAGGGCGCGAGCGUUGUCCGGAUUUAUUGGGCGUAAAGAGCUCGUAGGCGGUCUGUUGCGUCGGCUGUGAAAACCCGAGGCUCAACCUCGGGCCUGCAGCCGAUACGGGCAGACUAGAGUUCGGCAGGGGAGACUGGAAUUCCUGGUGUAGCGGUGAAAUGCGCAGAUAUCAGGAGGAACACCGGUGGGCGAAGGCGGGUCUCUGGGCCGAUGACUGACGCUGGAG
rnacentral:rRNA from 1 species